rnacentral:rRNA from 1 species
AUUGAACGCUGGCGGCAGGCCUAACACAUGCAAGUCGAACGAGUGGCGGAAGGGUGAGUAAUGACUGGGAAACUGGCUGAUGGAGGGGGAUAACUACUGGAAACGGUAACUAAUAACGCAUAACAUCGUAUGUGCACAGGUGGUAUUAGCGAGUAGGUGGGGUAAAGGCGGACCUGGGCGACGAUCCCUAGCUGGGCUGAGAGGAUGACCAGCCACACUGGAACUGAGACACGGUCCAGAGUCCUACGGGAGGCAGCAGUGGGGAAUAUUGCACAAUGGGCGCAAGCCUGAUGCAGCCAUGCCGCGUGUAUGAAGAAGGCCUUCGGGUUGUAAAGUACUUUCAGCGGGGAGGCGUUACCCACAGAAGAAGCACCGGCUAACUCCGUGCCAGCAGCCGCGGUAAUAC